rnacentral:rRNA from 1 species
CACUCCUACGGGAGGCAGCAGUGGGGAAUUUUGGACAAUGGGCGAAAGCCUGAUCCAGCAAUGCCGCGUGUGUGAAGAAGGCCUUCGGGUUGUAAAGCACUUUUGUCCGGAAAGAAAUCCUUGGCUCUAAUACAGUCGGGGGAUGACGGUACCGGAAGAAUAAGCACCGGCUAACUACGUGCCAGCAGCCGCGGUAAUACGUAGGGUGCGAGCGUUAAUCGGAAUUACUGGGCGUAAAGCGUGCGCAGGCGGUUUGCUAAGACCGAUGUGAAAUCCCCGGGCUCAACCUGGGAACUGCAUUGGUGACGGGCAGGCUAGAGUAUGGCAGAGGGGGGUAGAAUUCCACGUGUAGCAGUGAAAUGCGUAGAGAUGUGGAGGAAUACCGAUGGCGAAGGCAGCCCCCUGGGCCAAUACUGACGCUCAUGCACGAAAGCGUGGGGAGCAAACAGGAUUAGAUACCCUAGUAGUCCC